rnacentral:rRNA from 1 species
CCUANGGGGGGCAGCAGUGGGGAAUCUUGCACAAUGGGGGAAACCCUGAUGCAGCGACGCCGCGCGAACGAUGAAGCCCUUCGGGGUGUAAAGUUCUUUCGACAGGAACGAUAAUGACGGUACCUGAAGAAGAAGCUGCGGCUAACUACGUGCCAGCAGCCGCGGUAAUACGUAGGCAGCAAGCGUUGUUCGGAAUUACUGGGCGUAAAGAGUGCGUAGGUGGUUGGCUAAGUUUGGUGUGAAAUCUCCCGGCUCAACUGGGAGGGUGCGCCGAAAACUGGCUAGCUAGAGUGUGGGAGAGGGACGUGGAAUUCCUGGUGUAGCGGUGAAAUGCGUAGAUAUCAGGAGGAACACCUGCGGUGUAGACGGCGUCCUGGACCAUUACUGACACUGAGGCACGAAAGCGUGGGGAGCAAACAGGAUUAGAUACCCCANUANUC